UACUUUUCCUCCUUCUAACUUCUACCAUUGCCCUCAUCACCUCCGGCUCAGCCCAGCCCCUCCAUUAAUCAGCGUCUCCUGGAAGUGUUGCCCAAGGCCAGUUCCGGUCUGUUAGGAGGGCAUAAGGGUCUAGUGAGAUGUAUAGGAAGGAAUGUCUGAAGCACAGCAAAGUCUCUUGAGGAUGCAACAGGAGAGCAGUGUCCUAGAGGAAGUCCCCCCAAUGCGCAUCUCAGUGCCAGUGGAUAAUCCUGGCAAUCCCCAAAUCUAGCUGGAGCGGCCCAGGAUAGAUGUAAUAGAUGUUUUAUUUUAGCAAAGAAAAGCCCUCCAAAUUUCCUAUAACUUCCAGAUAUUUCAUCUCUCCCCUUAACCCCGAAGAGUCCCUCCAGGCUUCCUAAGUUAGUUGCCCACUUAAUACCCAUCAGUCUGCCCUAGAACUUAGCUUUUGCAGAGUUCCCUGGCCUCGUGUCAACACUAGAGCAAUGCUUAUGUGCAGAAGGGAGAUGGGGGAAGGGUCAGCUUUAUUCCUUAGUUCCCACACAUUCUAAAUCUUAAACUCCUGCGACUUUCACUUUGAAAAUUAAGAAACUCCUCACUCCAGCCAAUUGAGGGUAGGAUGAAACCAGUCCUGUUGAUACCAAAAAUGCCAGUUAACAGAUGUCGACAAUGGAAGAAAAGUGAGCCGCCAUGGUCUGGUCCCUGACACUCUGGCGCCUCUUACAGCUACACAGACCCACAUCCUUUUGUCUCACUUGUUGAAAUUCUAUGUAUAAAAGUAUUUUCUUAGCAGCAUGUGUAUAAGGAAAAGGGUUGGUUUUGGGUUUUGUUUUGUUUUGGAUUUCUUUUUCACUCUGCUUUCUGGGAAUGUGACUUAUGUAUAAAAGAAAGAAAGACAAAGAAAAGAAAAGGAACUUUAAAAGAAAAUCUUGGUAAACAUCUGCCUUGGGAUAAUU
rnacentral:lncRNA from 1 species